rnacentral:lncRNA from 1 species
AUGCAGACUUGUAUCUUCCAGCAGAGUUUUCAGUAUGGUUGGUGCAUAUGGGUAAAAAGGAGGGGUUCUGCAGAUCAGUUUCCAAAUGGAAUUUUACAACCUUCUUUGGCAAGAGAAGACAACCACGUGCUGAAACCAGUUCAGGGCAGAGGAGGUUUCAAGAGCAAUUGGAAGCAGCUGUCUGCCUCAAAUACAGUGAACCAUCAGGAAAAGUGGUGGAGAGCUUUCCCUGGAAUAUACUUUGAGACUAGUCCAGUGUGUCUUUUCAUCACAAAUUUUAAUCAUCAAUUGCUGGCUUUGUUUAUGUUUGCUGCACUGGGACACGUCCUAAAGCAGCUGCAUCAGAUAAGGGUGCACAGUAAUAUAUCACUGGCUUUACCAAAUCCAUCCAACUCACUUUCAUCUUAAAUACAACAUUAUUUUAUUUUAUUUUAUUUUAUUUUAUUUUAUUUUAUUUUAUUUUAUUUU